UCUCUGGUGGCUCAGACGGUAAAGAAUCUGCCUGCAAUGCAGGAGACCCAGGUUCUAUGCCUGGGCUGGGGAG
rnacentral:tRNA from 1 species